rnacentral:tRNA from 1 species
GGGGAUUUAGCUCAGUGGUGGAGCGCUUGCCUAGCAAGCACAAGGUCCUGGGUUUGGUCCCCAGCUCCG